rnacentral:rRNA from 1 species
UCCCGCCGGACCUGACUGCUAUCGGAUUGAUACUAAGCCAUGCGAGUCUUUGUAGUAAUACAAGGCAGACGGCUCAGUAACACGUAGUCAACCUACCCUAUGGACAAGAAUAAUCUCGGGAAACUGGGCAUAAUUCUUGAUAGAUCAUAAUGCCUGGAAUGGUUUAUGGUUAAAAUGAUUCGUCGCCAUAGGAUGGGACUGCGGCCUAUCAGCUUGUUGGUGAGGUAAUGGCCCACCAAGGCGAUUACAGGUACGGGCUCUGAGAGGAGAAGCCCGGAGAUGGGUACUGAGACACGGACCCAGGCCCUAUGGGGCGCAGCAGGCGAGAAAACUUUGCAAUGUGCGAAAGCACGACAAGGUUAAUCCGAGUGAUUUCUGCUAAAGAAAUCUUUUGCCAGUCAUAAAACCACUGGUGAAUAAGGGGUGGGCAAGUUCUGGUGUCAGCCGCCGCGGUAAAACCAGCACCUCAAGUGGUCAGGAUGAUUAUUGGGCCUAAAGCAUCCGUAGCCGGCUUUGUUAGUUUUCGGUUAAAUCCAUGUGCUCAACGCAUGGGCUGCCGAAAAUACUGCAUAGCUAGGGAGUGGGAGAGGUAGACGGUACUCAGUAGGAAGGGGUAAAAUCCUUUGAUCUAUUGAUGACCACCUGUGGCGAAGGCGGUCUACCAGAACACGUUCGACGGUGAGGGAUGAAAGCUGGGGGAGCAAACCGGAUUAGAUACCCGGGUAGUCCCAGCUGUAAACGAUGCAGACUCGAUGAUGCAUUGGCAUAAUAGCCAGUGCAGUGUCGCAGGGAAGCCGUUAAGUCUGCCGCCUGGGAAGUACGUACGCAAGUAUGAAACUUAAAGGAUUGGCGGGG